AAACUAGACUAGAUAAAGCCGCC
rnacentral:siRNA from 1 species